ACACGUAGGGGCCUGACGUUGUUCGGAAUCAUUGGGCGUAAAGGGCGCGCAGGCGGCCGUCCAAGUCCGGUGUUAAAUGGUCGGGCUCAACCCGAUCAUGCGCUGGAAACUGGGCGGCUUGAGUCCCGUAGGGGAUGCCGGAAUUCCAGGUGUAGGGGUGAAAUCUGUAGAUAUCUGGAAGAACACCGAUAGCGAAGGCAGGCAUCUGGCCGGAGACUGACGCUGAGGCGCGAAAGCGCGGGGAGCGAACAGGUUUAGAUACCCUGGUAGUCCGCGCAGUAAACGAUGCGCACCAGGUGUCGGGCGGCAGCGCCCGGUACCGGAGCAAACGCGAUGAGUGCGCCGCCUGGGGAGUAUGCCCGCAAGGGUGAAACUCAAAUGAAUUGGCGGGG
rnacentral:rRNA from 1 species